UACAGAGGUCUCGAGCGUUAGGCGGAAUCACUGGGCUUAAAGCGUGUGUAGGCGGAUCGUUAAGUGCCUUGUGAAAUCCCACGGCUCAACCGUGGAACUGCUUGGCAUACUGGCGGUCUUGAGCAACCUAGGGGCGAGCGGAACAAAUGGUGGAGCGGUGAAAUGCGUAGAUAUCGCUUGGAACGCCGAAGGUGAAAACAGGCUGCUGGGGUUGCGCCGACGCUGAGACACGAAAGCCAGGGGAGCAAACGGG
rnacentral:rRNA from 1 species